rnacentral:rRNA from 1 species
UACGUAGGGAGCAAGCGUUGUCCGGAAUCAUUGGGCGUAAAGCGCACGUAGGUGGCCCGGUAAGUCCGCUCUGAAAGUCAAAGGCUCAACCUUUGAAAGCGGGUGGAUACUGCCAGGCUAGAGUCCGGAAGAGGCGAGUGGAAUUCCUGGUGUAGCGGUGGAAUGCGCAGAUAUCAGGAGGAACACCAACGGCGAAGGCAGCUCGCUGGGACGGUACUGACACUGAGGCGCGAAAGCGUGGGGAGCGAACAGG